CGAGGACGAACGCUGGCGGUGUGCUUCACACAUGCAAGUCGAACGAGGUAGCAAUACCUAGUGGCGGACGGGUGAGUAACGCGUGGGAAUCUGCCUUUAGAUGGGGGAUAACGGGUCGAAAGACUCGCUAAUACCGCAUAUGACGAAAGUUGAAAGGAGUAAUCCGUCUAAAGAUGAGCCCGCGUCCGAUUAGCUAGUUGGUAGAGUAAAAGCCUACCAAGGCGACGAUCGGUAGCUGGUCUGAGAGGAUGAUCAGCCACAAUGGGACUGAGACACGGCCCAUACUCCUACGGGAGGCAGCAGUGGGGAAUUUUACGCAAUGGGCGAAAGCCUGACGUAGCGACACCGCGUGAGCGAAGAAGCCCCUUGGGGUGUAAAGCUCUGUCAGCUGGAACGAAAAAAAUGACGGUACCAGCAGAGGAAGCAUCGGCUAACUACGUG
rnacentral:rRNA from 1 species